rnacentral:sRNA from 1 species
UAACCGUGCUUCCAUAACACACAUCGGGC